CACGUAGGGUGCGAGCGUUGUCCGGAAUUAUUGGGCGUAAAGAGCUCGUAGGCGGUGUGUCGCGUCGGCCGUGAAAACCUGUAGCUUAACUGUGGGCUUGCGGUCGAUACGGGCAUCACUGGAGUUCGGCAGGGGAGACUGGAAUUCCUGGUGUAGCGGUGGAAUGCGCAGAUAUCAGGAGGAACACCGGUGGCGAAGGCGGGUCUCUGGGCAGUAACUGACGCUGGAGGAGCGAAAGCGUGGGGAGCGAACAGG
rnacentral:rRNA from 1 species